GUUAAAUGAAGUGGAUAAUUCUAAAAAUUCAUGUGAUGAAGUUGAUGAAAGUGAAGAGGAGUAUGUGGUUGGCCUUAAUCGAGGCUCUCUUGAUGCUGAGAAAGAUGUGAAGCCUUCGUUGAAGAGGUUGAGAAGAUCCUUGAGGCUGCAAUUUGAUGAAGCUGAUGAGUCUCGUGGCUCGGGGAAUGAUGGCUCCUCUGGACAGGGGGUUAAUUGAGGUGGCUGCCCAUGGUAGUUUGGUUGUGCCCAUGUAAUAGCAUUUGAUGCAUUGGAUUGUAGUAGAUGAGAAUACGUGUGUGUUUUCAUGUUUUGUAUAAGUUGUUUGGAUUGUUUUUUGGGCAUCUUUCUCAUGUAAUAUAUUAAGUGCUAGGGUUUGGACACUAUAUCAUUAGCCACUAGGCAAAUUAGCUAUUUAGCCCUU